rnacentral:rRNA from 1 species
UACGUAGGUGGCAAGCGUUGUCCGGAAUUACUGGGCGUAAAGGGCGCGUAGGCGGCUUACCAAGUCAGGCGUGAAAUUCCCGGGCUCAACCUGGGGGCUGCGCUUGAUACUGGUGAGCUUGAAUGCGGGAGAGGAUAGUGGAAUUCCCAGUGUAGAGGUGAAAUUCGUAGAUAUUGGGAAGAACACCGGUGGCGAAGGCGGCUAUCUGGCCCGUAAUUGACGCUGAGGCGCGAAAGCGUGGGGAGCAAACAGG